UACGGAGGGAGCUAGCGUUGUUCGGAAUUACUGGGCGUAAAGCGCACGUAGGCGGCUUUGUAAGUUAGAGGUGAAAGCCCGGGGCUCAACCCCGGAAUUGCCUUUAAGACUGCAUCGCUUGAAUCCGGGAGAGGUGAGUGGAAUUCCGAGUGUAGAGGUGAAAUUCGUAGAUAUCGAGAGGAACACCGGUGGCGAAGGCGGCGAUCUGGACGAUGACUGACGCUGAGACGCGAAAGCGUGGGGAGCAAACAGG
rnacentral:rRNA from 1 species